GCAAGUCGAACGAGUUCUCGUUGAUGAUCGGUGCUUGCACCGAGAUUCAACAUGGAACGAGUGGCGGACGGGUGAGUAACACGUGGGUAACCUGCCCUUAAGUGGGGGAUAACAUUUGGAAACAGAUGCUAAUACCGCAUAGAUCCAAGAACCGCAUGGUUCUUGGCUGAAAGAUGGCGUAAGCUAUCGCUUUUGGAUGGACCCGCGGCGUAUUAGCUAGUUGGUGAGGUAAUGGCUCACCAAGGCGAUGAUACGUAGCCGAACUGAGAGGUUGAUCGGCCACAUUGGGACUGAGACACGGCCCAAACUCCUACGGGAGGCAGCAGUAGGGAAUCUUCCACAAUGGACGCAAGUCUGAUGGAGCAACGCCGCGUGAGUGAAGAAGGCUUUCGGGUCGUAAAACUCUGUUGUUGGAGAAGAAUGGUCGGCAGAGUAACUGUUGUCGGCGUGACGGUAUCCAACCAGAAAGCCACGGCUAACUACGUGCCAGCAGCCGCGGUAAUACGUAGGUGGCAAGCGUUAUCCGGAUUUAUUGGGCGUAAAGCGAGCGCAGGCGGUUUUUUAAGUCUGAUGUGAAAGCCCUCGGCUUAACCGAGGAAGCGCAUCGGAAACUGGGAAACUUGAGUGCAGAAGAGGACAGUGGAACUCCAUGUGUAGCGGUGAAAUGCGUAGAUAUAUGGAAGAACACCAGUGGCGAAGGCGGCUGUCUGGUCUGUAACUGACGCUGAGGCUCGAAAGCCAUG
rnacentral:rRNA from 2 species